rnacentral:lncRNA from 1 species
UGAUGGGGAAAGUCUUACAGUGACAUGCGACAGUUCGUUUACUUCAAAACAACGAGACACACACGAGAAAACUGGACCUAGUGGGGAGGGCGGGGAGGAGGCAGGCGUUUCUUGAAAUCAGCCAAACAGCAUCUGGUCCUUUACCAGGGUAAUCUCAUCAAGGAACUCCUGUUGGAGCCCCAACUCUCAACCAAAAUAAACCAACAGGAACAUGUGUUUACUCAAUGGCCAGUUUCUGUUUGAAAUACGCGAGGGGAGAAGGGGUCCCUUAACCAAGUCCUAAAAGUAGACUGUUUACCGAAACAGUGGAGCAGCCCCCCCGCCCCCCGCCCCCCCCGUGUGGUCGCCCCUUUCCUUGAGGGCGGCAGCUGCCUGGGUCCGCGGCGACCCGCGGGGGGGGGGGCGCGGGGGGGCUUCGGGCCGAGUGUUUGCAGCGGGGCGGGCGCGCGCCCGGGCAGUCCCCAAGCUGAGACUUUUAAAGAGCAUGUGAGCAUGACAAGUGUCUGUCCGCAACGUGUUAGAUUUUGAAACUGCCUUGCAAUCCAGCCCGGAACUCGCAGCUCUAGCCCGGGGUAACAGACACUUGCCUGGGGUGUCUGUGUCUCGCUCUCCUCCCCCCACCCACCGCCGUCGCCGUUGGAGGAAGAGCCCCGGAGGAGCAGGGUGCGCCGCGCCGCGCCCGCGUGUCAAUGGCAGCCGCGCAUUCUGGAAGAACCCCAGGAAGAAAGGCCCGAAGGAGAAACCCGGGCGCUCGGCUGCUGUCGCCGCCGCCGAGCGAGGGAUGCGGGCGGCGUGCGCGCGGCAAGGAGGAAGGCUCGAGGUUCUGGGCUCCGCCGCCCCCACGAGGGACGGGUGACAGCGGCCCGGGAGGCGCGGAGAGCGGCCGCGCGGCCGGAGCGCUCGGUGCCGUCCUCCCGGCCUGGAAGGGGCGGGGGAGGGGCGGAGGAGCGGCGGGGCGGGAGGGGGACGGGGCGGGCGGCUGGGGGCGGAGGCAGGACCUCCUGUACCUUCCCUCUC